UACGGAGGGUGCAAGCGUUAUCCGGAUUCACUGGGUUUAAAGGGUGCGUAGGCGGGCAUGUAAGUCCGUGGUGAAAUCUCCGAGCUUAACUCGGAAACUGCCAUGGAUACUAUGUGUCUUGAAUGUUGUGGAGGUGAGCGGAAUAUGUCAUGUAGCGGUGAAAUGCUUAGAUAUGACAUAGAACACCAAUUGCGAAGGCAGCUUACUUCACGAUCAUUGACACUGAGGCACGAAAGCGUGGGGAGCAAACAGG
rnacentral:rRNA from 1 species